rnacentral:lncRNA from 1 species
CGGCCAUUUGGGAGUGUGCACAUUGCAAUAGAGGCAAAAAUUUCGGCACAUAGAUGUAAAUACAAGGCUGAUGAAACUCUCAAAAUACUGGAAUAGGCAGCACAUAAGCUUAUGCCGAUUCCUGUAUAUAUUUGAGGCAAAAAGCAUGAUAAAUCGGGACGAAAAUGGAGGCUUGAUAAAGUUCACGAAGCGAUAUCAAUUUCUCUGUCCAUUUACUGUGGUUGAAAUAUCUUUGUGGUUGAAAAGAGGUAAAA